GCCCAGACACAAAAGCAGGAAACCCUUUGACCGGGCUCCUUCCUAUUGCACCAACAGCCUUGUGUUGCUGCAAUGAAAACACUUCCCCAAGCAGCUGUGGCCAAGAGACACAGAAACUGCCUUGUCCACGGGCCCCGCCUCAGACUCCAACACUCACAAGAAAGCAGAGGAGCCCCAAGUCUUGGGGACCACAGAAGAUGCCAUGUGCUCCACGAUGUCGGCCCCCACCUGCCUGGCCCACUUGCCUCCCUGCUUCCUGCUGCUGGCACUGGUCCUUGUCCCCUCAGAUGCCUCUGGGCAGAGCAGCAGGAAUGACUGGCAGGUGCUACAGCCCGAGGGCCCCAUGCUGGUGGCAGAAGGCGAGACACUUCUACUGAGGUGUAUGGUGGUUGGCUCCUGCACUGAUGGUAUGAUAAAAUGGGUGAAGGUGAGCACUCAGGACCAACAGGAAAUUUAUAACUUUAAACAUGGCUCCUUCCCUGGGGUAAUGCCCAUGAUCCAACGGACAUCAGAACCACUGAAUUGUGAUUAUUCCAUCUAUAUCCACAAUGUCACCAGGGAGCACACUGGAACCUACCACUGUGUGAGGUUUGAUGGUUUGAGUGAACACUCAGAAAUGAAAUCGGAUGAAGGAACCUCAGUGCUUGUGAAGGGAGCUGGGGACCCUGAACCAGACCUGUGGAUCAUCCAGCCCCAGGAAUUGGUGUUGGGGACCACUGGAGACACUGUCUUUCUGAACUGCACAGUGCUUGGAGACGGUCCCCCCGGACCCAUCAGGUGGUUCCAGGGAGCUGGUCUGAGCCGGGAGGCCAUUUACAACUUUGGAGGCAUCUCCCACCCCAAGGCGACAGCGGUGCAGGCCUCCAACAAUGACUUCAGCAUUCUUCUGCAAAACGUCUCCAGUGAGGAUGCAGGCACCUAUUACUGUGUAAAGUUUCAGAGGAAACCCAACAGGCAAUACCUGUCUGGACAGGGCACCAGGCUGAAAGUGAAAGCAAAAUCUACCUCUUCCAAAGAGGCAGAAUUCACCAGUGAACCUGCAACUGAGAUGUAUCCAACAGGUUUGCAGUGAUCUGUUACAGCGGCCACGGGAAGCUGAAACAGCAGGAAAGCAUGGAGGUGGCUCUCCACUAACUGGAGGUGGGUCCCACCUGCCCCUGCAAGCCCCCUGGCCCUGUAGGGCCCUGCAUGAGCUGGUCCCUGCCGCCCCCUCUGACCUUAUCUCCCGAGAUCCCGUAAGCUGACUCUGCUCCAGCACCCCUCUGGGCUUUGACCACACAAAGCUCCCUGAUUCAUUCAAGUCUCUGCUUAACUCUUACCUUCAAGAGGCCUCUCUGGACCACUCUAUCCAAAAGAGCACCUCCAUCACUCUCAUUCCUGCUUGCCACUUAAGUUUUCUUCAUAGUACUUACUGCUACCUGAAAACGUGUGUGUGGUGUGUGUGUGUGAGCGCACAUGCAUGUGUGUGUGCACCUAUGUGCACCUAUGUGGGUGUGUGUGCAUGUGUGCAUGUGUGUGUCUGUACCUGUGUGUGCCUGCGUGUGCACGUGUGUGUGGUGUGUGUGUGUGAGCGCACGUGCAUGUGUGUGUGCACCUAUGUGGGUGUGUGUGCAUGCAUGUGUGCAUCUGUGUGCCUGCGUGUGCACGUGUGUGUGCGUGUGUGUGCGUGUGUGCAUGUGUGCGUGUCUGUGUGUGCGUGUGUGUUUGUGUGUCUGCUUCCUUGAUGGUUGUUAGUUGUCCCCACUAGAAUUUGAGCUCCCUGGGGACAGGAACCUAAUGGUCCACUAUUGUAGCCAACCUCAUUCAAUCCUGAAACGUGGUUGAAAGCUGACUCUGUGCCAGGCCCUAAUCAGUGUGCUGAGAAUGAAACAGAAGUCUGCUCUCUCAGAGCUUACCUCCUCCCGAGAGAAGACAGACAAUGAGCAAGUAACCCUAGGUGAGUAACAGGCCCCACUAUACUGAGUGCUGAGGGCCUUCACAACGCAGGAGGAGGGGGAAGGAAGUUGCCAGAGCAAAGGGGAAGUGACACUAUUUUAUGCAGGGUGGACAGAAGAGGCCUCCUGAUAAAGUGACAUUUGAGCAGACACCUGAAGGAGGUGAGGAAGAGAGCCCUGCAGAUACCCAGGGGAAGAGCUGAAAAGUACAAGCAACAGCGAAUGCAAAGGUCCUGAGGCAGGAGCGUGCUUGACUUGGCACAAGAACAGCAAACACCAAGCAGAAUGCCUGGCCUGUAUUAGACCCCGUAAACGCCUGAACUACAUACAUGGCAGAGAUGAAGCACACAGUCUCGGAAAUCUGGCUGUGCAGGUUCAAAUUCCAGUUCUCCUACUUAUCUCUUGGCUCUUCUUUAGCUCUUUCCUUCCCUUCCCAUGGUUCUUGUCCCAUGGCUCUUCCUGCCCCAAGGAACCCCCAUCAAGGCUGCCAAAGUCCCAGACUUUGUGACUGCUCCCUGUGAGAGACGGGUCUAUUCACGCCACUCUCCUCGGGCUCGAGGACGCUCCAUUUCCCCCUGCAGGGAAGUGCGGGAAUCUUCAGUUCUUGUCUGCUUGGAAGAAAGAUUUCAGCCAAGAGACACACAGCAAAGGUGAAGUAGCAGAGUUUAUUGAAGAAAGAUAAAGUACGUUCCUAGAAAGGAGUGGGCUGACCUGGCUGGAAAACAGCAUCAGACAAAAAACAGCAGUAGCAGUGUUUAUUUAAAGAGACAGUACACUCUGAAAGAACGAGCCAGCAGCAGCUGGUGCUGGGGGACCCUCUUUAUGAGAAUCUUACAUGAUUAUUCGUGAAGGGGCAUGAGGGAGUGUCACUUACAAUCAUGUUUUAGGUGGUCCCCUUGGCUGUGAAUGUUGUGUGUUUGUACGCGCUAGUAAACACAUUGCCUGUCUCAUUAGCAUUUAAAAUCUCCACUCAAGGGUGUGUUUUGUUGUUAUUAUUAUUAUUUUUUGAGACAGAGUCUCGCUCUGUCACCGAGGCUGGAGUGCAGUGGUGUGAUCUCGGUUCGCUGCAAUCUCUGCCUUCCGGGUUCCAGCGAUUCUCCUGCCUCAGCUUCCUGAGUAGCUGGGACUACAGGCACGCACCACCAUGCCUGGCUAAUUUUUGUAUUUUUUUAGUAGAGACGGGGUUUCACCAUAUUGGCCAGGCUGAUCUCAAACUCCUGACUUCGUCAUCCGCCCACCUCGGCCACUCAAAGUGCUGGGAUUACAGGCAUGAGCCACUGUGCCCGGCUUGUUAUUAUAAUGAGCAAAAGGCUACUGUAGGGCGAGUUACUAGAGGAGUGCACAUGCUUGUCAGUGGGAAAGUCCCUACCAUGGUUAUCUCUGGGUAAGGCCUCAUAAGUCCCCUUUAGGGCCAGAGGAGCCCAACCACAAGGCCAGAAGUUGCCAGUGUAGCCGUUGUCUCUUUGCUGGCUGCCAGUGGGUGGCGCUGACUGUCAGUGAAUGGAGUCUCCAGGACUUCUUUUCCCAAACGCUCUCUUGCCUGCUUAUUUCUGGCUAUCUGCCUACUCUAACAGUCAGACUUGUAAAUGUUUUACCAGUUGGAUAAGGCAAAAGGGAAUCUCAUUGCAGUUUUCACUGGUUCUCACUGCUGACUAAUGCAACCAAGCAUUUUUCCAUACACCGGCUGGCAGUACUGUUAUUUUAUUAUUAUUGUCAUUAGUUGAAGAUGUUGUGAAAAGAGAGACAAAUAGUCCCAACUUUGCUGAGGCAGUGGUAGUGUUGUUAUUAUUAUUAUUAUUAUUAUUAUUAUUUUUUGAGACAGAGUCUCGCUCUGUCACCUUUUGUGAAGAAGAGUGGUAGAAGAAGGCGGUGCUGAGGCUGAGGUAGUAGAGAAGGGUGAGUGGUAUCGGCAGCUUCCAUGUAUAGGGGCCUCUGGAAGGUCUGAAUGUCAGUUGGGAAAUCAAUCAUUUGCUCCACCUAGCAGCUCCCCUGGGCCCCUAAGCUAUAGAGGGUCUAGCGCUUAGGAGACUGGAGUAGGGGGUCAGAGGAGACACCAGUCCUGGGUACACACAGCUCCUGCCCAAAGUGAAGUCACCACCAGUGAGGACACAGCAGAGGGGGUGCCAAAGGAAGGCUGGGGUGGGGCGGGAGGUGGU